AUCGUUCAACCUGAUACAUUCAGGUCGCAAGUAAGCCGACUCGGAACGGAUC
rnacentral:ncRNA from 1 species